AGUGGUAUUUAUCUUGUGUUCACGAGUCAGUAUUUAUUGAGCCAUGGAGAAGAUUUGUCUUUUAAUCUAUAAAUCAGGCUUGUGUUUCUUACUGGCAAUACUAACUAUGAGACAUAGAAAUUAAAAAAUCAAAAUUGAACCAGUUGCUCAUUCAUGAAAUCACUCAACUGACACUUAGGAGCCAGCCAAAUGCCAGGGAACUGCCCUGCCUUCCCCACGACGGGGCUCCAGGUUGCUGAUGGAAGGUGCACCUUCUGGAGGUUUUCUUGCCCCCGGAUGUCCACUGAGAACCCCAACUGUGGCUUUGGGGGCUCCUCCUUCCUCUUACCCUCAACCUGGGACUAAACAGCCCUGAGACAAUGCAAGAGACGUGCAAAGCCCUCUGUUCUAGGCCCAAGGGCAGCAAAACAGUGAGCAUCACCGGCUCUGGACUGCCCGCUCAGAGGGAGCACUUCCCAGUCUUUGAAGGCCUCUGUGUCCAGGGGCUGCCACCUAGAACCAGGGGCCC
rnacentral:lncRNA from 1 species